UCUUAAAGAUGUACAUAGCACAUGUGUACUUCCUUAUGGCUCACAGAUGUUAAUUCACAAUCUCCAGGCACAGAGAGAGACAGGAGGCAGGGAGGAAAAGAGAAACAGUCAUACUCUCAUGCAAAUUGCCACCACCAAGUCCCAGCCAGUUAUGCUCUUCCUAAACCAGGAGUAAGGUUGUAAGCAAUGCUGCUUGUGGGGCCCUGGAGAAGAUGGGGAAGUCUUGGACGCUGUAUCCCAAUCCUUCUUCUGGCUGUCCUGUUCGAUAUUGUCGGGCUAAUCCUUUUGCUGCUGGGGAUUUUGGUCUCUCUGAACUACUGGGACUUCUUGGUCUACACAGGGUCUCUCUUCCUUGCCUUCAGUCUGCUCUUCUGGAUGUUCUGGUAUUCAUUCAGCCUUGAGGUGUGCCCUGAGAAACUGGACUCAUAGUGUUUAAGUCUCAACAGCAGUGGAUCUCAGUUCUUGAGUGGAGGGAAGAGAAACAAAUACAAAUGCUGAAGAAAUCCAGAAUUUGACCGGGGAGCACCCUUCAUAAGGAUAGCUGAAGAAAGAAGACUGGCUUCCACAAAAGCCCAGAGUCAACACCAUCCAGUUGCAAGGAAACACCAGUUUGGAGAUGGAAAGCUUUAGGUCACAGAGUGUAUCAUAGAAAAAGUCUGUGAUAUCAACCUGUAUGGUCAGAGACACUGGAACACAACUGAAACCACUUUUGGAAAGGCUACCAUCUCUGUGGGGAAAGAGCUCAAUAGAAGUUCUCCAUGUCCAAAUUCCCAUAAAGGACUUACAUACAAACAUGUCUACCUACCACCAACUUGUUUCUAGAAAGAUUGGGGGCCUGGAUGCUGAAGAAACCCCAAGACUCCAUAUGGAAUCAUGAUAAGACACUUCCUUUACGUCUCUCCACAGAUGCAAGGCAGCUCCUGCCCUGCAGAAGGCGAGGUGAUUAAGGCCCAUUAGAUGCUACAUUCUGGCUCAUUACAACUUAACUGAAUUCAUCUUCCGGAUGACAGCAAUUGUUUAUGCUCCUAAUGGACAUUGCCUUGCCUUCAGUGCAUUUUCCCUAGGAUGGAAACUGACAUUCAAACUGUGACAGAAUUUCCCCUGCAUACCAUCCCUUGGCAGUUCCAACCCUUGGAGCCAGCCAGAUGUCCAGUGACACUGUUCAAAAUCACAGGAAGGAACGCCUGAAACGCAGUAACUGGAAAGCCAGAGUGUUGCCCCACUUGUAACCCUGAAUUCAGUUCCUCUAGGGGUUUGGGGAGAAGAAAACUACUGAAGGGCAAGUUAAAGAUGGGUCACUAUGUAUGAGGAGGUCUUCACUUGAAGAAUUAAAAACCAGAAGAGACCAGAUGACAAGACAGAGGUCAAAGAAAUGAGAGAGUAACCACAAUAAACUAAAAAUAGGUAAAGGAGCAGAGCUGAGAAUGUUCCCUGAUGCUUAAAAGAAAUAAAGUAGAAGAGGAUCAGAAGUUUGAGCAGCUGCUUCAGGCUGUUCUGGGAACUGGUUUGAUUGGAGGAGAGCUCUAUAGCUGUUGGGAAGUGGAAGAAAGCAGAAUCCUGCUAUGUGAAGAGCUGGCUGGGUUUGGCUGCAUUGCCCAGAGAUAAAAUUGAAGAACUUUUCACCUCUGUUUUAAGGAAAAAGUUUGUCACUGACCUAGCUUAACACUGCUUCAGCAGUAAGGCAAGGGAGCAGACCCAAAAUGCUGCUGAUCCCAGAACUGGGUCUGCUGUUUCACUGAAAAAGGACAAUAUGACUGCUUAAUGAAAAGAGCUUAACAUUGCUUCAGUGGCCCAUAAGCAGUAGAGAAGUGUAUCCAAAUGUAUUCAAAAGGAUACAAGCAUAUUUCUUUAUUCCACUUCACUUUAUUGCAUUUCUCAGCACAAUUUGCAUUUUUUAUUACAAAUUGAAGGUUUGUGGCAAUUUUAUUUCAAAAUCGGUCUAUUUUCCCAAUAGCAUGUGCUGACAGAGUGUCUCUAUGUCACACUAUGUUAAUUCUCAUAAUAUUUCAGACUUUUUAAUUAUUAUUAUAUCUACUAUGUUGACCUAUAAUCAGUGAUCUUUGAUGUUACUAUUAUAAUUGUUUUGGGGGUGCUACGAACAGAGCUCAUAUAAUACAGUGAACUUAAUCAAUAAAUGUU